rnacentral:rRNA from 1 species
GGCUCAGGAUGAACGCUGGCGGCGUGCCUAAUACAUGCAAGUCGAGCGAACUGACGAGGAGCUUGCUCCUUUGACGUUAGCGGCGGACGGGUGAGUAACACGUGGGUAACCUACCUAUAAGACUGGAAUAACUCCGGGAAACCGGGGCUAAUGCCGGAUAACAUAUCGAACCGCAUGGUUCGAUAGUGAAAGACGGUCUUGCUGUCACUUAUAGAUGGACCCGCGCCGUAUUAGCUAGUUGGUGAGGUAACGGCUCACCAAGGCAACGAUACGUAGCCGACCUGAGAGGGUGAUCGGCCACACUGGAACUGAGACACGGUCCAGACUCCUACGGGAGGCAGCAGUAGGGAAUCUUCCGCAAUGGGCGAAAGCCUGACGGAGCAACGCCGCGUGAGUGAUGAAGGUCUUCGGAUCGUAAAGCUCUGUUGUUAGGGAAGAACAAAUGUGUAAGUAAC